rnacentral:lncRNA from 1 species
AAAGGUGCAUGACAACUCUGAGCAAGUCAAAACAACCGUCAGCAGCGGGAAACCUCGAUGAACAAACACCGGGAGAGUGUUUCUGCAGAUCCUGCUUUGUGACUUCGAGUGAAGUGUGGAAGCGCUGGAAGCACUUAGACCCUGCCUGUGCCGCAGACCCCUGGGAGGCACCAACACCCCGGAUCGAGAAGCCCGAUGGGAAAGAAUGUCUGGGAAGGACGUCAUGCCCGAGGCUUGCGUGACAGUUUCCACUCACAGUGCGCUCACUCUGAACCUCUGUGCACACGAUGGGCCUGCAUCUCUUCCCACUAUCUGCUAGGAAACACGAGGGGAAGGAAAUGACCGCAGAAGGGAGUGCACCGUGGGGGCAGGAGGUGCUGCGGCCAAUGGGCAGUGCUGGGAGAUGAAACCAACAGCGGCGAUUGCCCCAGAAAGAACUUGGCGCUGCUAAGGCAAUGGCGGCCCGAAAGAGGCCCCUGACGCAUGAGGAGCGGCCGCCGUCUCCAGCCCCAGGCCUCCCUCCCCUGUGUUUCCCGCAGCCCCCUCUGGAGUCUCUCCCCCGCCCCGCACGUGUAGGGAGACCCCGGGAAAGUGGGCCGGUUAUAAUUGCAAAAAAUAAACCGUCAGUAGCCACAAUAUCUUAUAAACGUAAAAGUAAUCUGAAAACCUACUUCAGUUAGAGAAAGGGCGUUUGAAUAUUUCCUGUUUAAGACACAGACCCCCUGAGAAGAUGUAUAAAGGACUUGGGCUGGGUGUGGUGGCUCACACUGCCCACACCAUGACCUUGGACCCCCGGCCUCCGGAACUGAGAGGCGCCGAACGCCUGCUGUUCAAGCUGCACCGUGAUGGGCACUUGGUUCUGUCUGCCCCAGGAAAAUGAGCCCAGCGCUCUCCCCAAACUCCUUUGUCCUGAACUUCUUUCCAGAGCCCUCAGCCCUAAUGGGUGGUCCCCUAGGGUCCUCAGCCUUCAGACUCUAAAUUCCCGUUGGAAACCCACAGGCAGUAGGGCCACGCCCAGGCACUCAGCCGCUGUGCUGCUCCCACGGGGGGCCCAGCAAACAGCCAGAGGCAGGCCCGGGGAGAGUUCCAGGGGGCUGGGAGACAGGUGGGAAACCUGCCACUGGCGGAGCGGUUGGUGGAGGGGUUGGAGGAGGGGCCGACAGGGAAACACGGUCCACGCCUCUGUCUGGGGGCUGUCACCUCCAGGGCUUUGAGCCUCACCAGCGUUCCGCCGCAUGGCUUGGAAGGUGUUGCUUUUCCUCCAGGGAGCUCAGGCCUCCGCAACAUGAGGACACUGCGACCCGGAAGCACUCUGUGCCGUCUGAGCUGCCCGCGAUCCAGUCCCUAAGAGGGACCAUCGGCAGGCGGCUUCCUGGCUCUUGGGGUCCGCACAGGCCUGUGGUAGCCCUGAGGAGGCCAUGAGAACCGUCAAGAAGUUCAUGGACUCAGGAGGACGUCGUGAGCAGUGCUGAGGUCAUGGAAUGUGGGCUGGGACCUUGUGUUUGGUGACAUCCUGUAAGUACUCGGCUCGCUCAAGCUAACUGCCCGGCUGGGAUCACCGCUCUAGGAGGACUCAAGAGUUCAGAUGAGUGGCCCAGGGGCCCGUCAGUGCUGUGCACCUCUCCCCCCAUGGGUGGGGGAGGAGCCUGGGGACUUGGCCAGUCCUGGAGGAGCCCUGAGACCAGGCCCUGUGGUGGGCACCACGGCACGGGGAGGUGCCUGGAGGGCUGGAGCCCACUUGGGGGGCCAUGGUCAGUCAGGGCUGCAGAAGCAGAGAAAUGCGGGAUGCCCAUGCUGGCUGGGACUCGCCCACUGCCCUGCACAUGGCGAGUGAGGGAGAGAGGCAAGGCACCUUUCCAGGGGUGCAUGGGAGGCUGCGGUCAAAGGUCCUGCACACCCGCAUGCGUGCUCACAUCUGUAGCUGCAGACACUGACCCCCAGAGACCCCCGAGCUCAUGUGGGGCUGGUGUAGGCGUGGGGUGGACGCUGGGGCAGUGUGGGCUCCUCCUCCUCCUCCAUGCGCGUGACGGGGUGGGGGUGGCCCCUCCCCUUGCCCUGGGAGCUCCGGCCCCCUCCCCACCCUCCCUGUGGCCCCAGUAGACAGAGCCCUGGCCCCUGCCUCGGGCCAGGUUUGGCAGAGGGGGCCCUGGCUGGAAACUGGAGGCAGAUGGAGGGGAGCUGGGGUUGCGGGCUGGCCGUGUCCCCUAACCCCUACACAGCCCAGCUCUGCUCCUGCUCCGCCUGGGUGUUCUGCAGGCUGGGGUGGAGGUGCUCCAGGACUGCCCCACAGCCCAGGGCCACACACCCCUGGAGCGAUCCCUAUCUCUGUCUGCGCCCUGGCCUCCUUCCUGCCAAGACCCUGACUGAGUCAGUAGGCUUGACUUUCAUAAACUGGCCAACAAGAUUGAGACCACACUUGGAGUGGAAGAUGGGGCCGUCUUAAGCCCUUGCCCCCUGCACGGGUCAGCCUGUGGCCAACGUCCUGGGCCGAGCCUCCUCCUCUUGCUCCACGCUCUUCCCACCCUGAGAGGGGCCUGGUCUGGGUGGGUCUCCUGGGACCCCCAGUGUUCGAACAUGACCUGAAAAGCAGAAAUGGAGGCUGAAGCCUUGGCAAGGAGGCCAGCACUUCCCAAUCUCACCUUCCACAGCUGAUGUGCAGGGCCGGGGGAGUGUUGGUAAUCCUCCCAGGACACACGUCUGCAUUUAAGGGUGUGCCUGACAUGAAAGGAAAUUUAUUCAAUGAUCUUUGCUAAAGACCGGAAGGGGACUACUCAGGACCAGUGCGGUGGGUGCUGGGACCAGGGCAGUGGGAUUUUGCAGUGGUGGAGAGAGAUUUAGGCUCCACUCUGAAUAUGGCUCCAGCGAGUGGGAUUUGAUAGCCCAGGAGCAGAGUGGGGUCCUCGGAUGGAACAUCACUAAGAACAAACAGCAGGGGUGGGAGGGUUCUGGCUGAAGGGAGGCGGGGUCAUCCGUCAUCACCUGGGUGCCGGAGGACGAGCAUGCUGCCCUGACGAGGAUGAUCAGAUACGGGGCGGGGCAGUUCUGGCUGAAGUCACUUAGCAGUGUUCUUGCUAAAACCGGAUUUUGCAAGGAAGUGUGCAGGUGGCCUAGAAGGCUCAAGGGCCUGAUAGAGUUUGGCCAAGCAAAGAAUCUCGUCACUGAGAAUUAGAAUCAAGGGCAGGUGGCUAAAUAGUGCCUUGUGGAUUCUCUCCGGCUUUUGCGGCCCCUCCCUCCACAUCCUGCUCUGGGUAGCCCCUAUCCUGCAGCCAUGACCCAGAUUCCUGAAGAGGGGAUGACUAUACAGGGGCCUGGAUGCUGGGUGCCGGCCUCAGGGGCGGGAGGCACCGGGAGAGGCCUGGCCGGAGAGCCGCCGGGACCCAGGUCAGGUCAGGACCCAGUGUGUAGCGGAGCUUGGGCUCAUGAGGUCAGAGCUGGAGCCACUGCACAUCGUCUCCCAGGGCCGGGGCUCCCAGAGGACAUGCAGUGUCUGCAGUUUUCUGGGGUGCCCCCGUCCUCUGCAUGGCACUCUGCGUGUUGGGGGCCUAUUGCGAGCUGCUCAUCCUGGCUUCUUGGGAGCAGUGUGGCCUAAGCAAGGGAGGCUGCCCAGGACCGGCACCUGUGGGGCGGGGCUGGUCGCAGGGUCUCGGUCCCUGAGGGCUGAUUCCUGCUGAAUGCUUCAAUGGCCAAGGGUGGAUCCCUCUCCUUCCAGCCUGAGGCUGUUUCAGGAAGAAACAGUCAGGCCUCGGCAGGUUUCCCUGCCCAAGGGGAGAGUCUGAGGAGGGGCUGACUCGGCAGGUGGAGCAGGGGGCCACUUUCAUCGAGUUUGUGUUCAGAACUCACUCCAGGGUCCUUUUCUUUUGGGGCCAGGCAGGCAGCACCAUGUGGGACAUUAUUAGCAAGGAGAGGAGGGGCCCAGGAGAGCUCACAGGGCGUUUUGGGAGCUCCGUAGAUAGGCAGGUCCUGAGGACUUUUGGAAAGGAUAGAACAAGGUCCCGGGCAGCUUUGUGGUGGUUGAGAGCGAGGGAGGAGGUGGCCUCCCUGAGCGUGGAUGGCUGGAUGCAUGCCCCAGACCCAGGGGCAGAGGCUGAGAAGGGAAGUCGGGGGCCCAGGGACCACACUUGGCAGGGUGGAGGGGGCAGGGGGAGCCACUUGCUGGGGAAACUUCACCGGAUGAUCUGGGCUGAGGACGCGCGAGUGUGGAAGAAAUGGUACCUCCCCCAUGCCAGAUGCUGCCCACCACCGGCACAGGGUCAGAGUUGGGGUCAGCGGGGCAGCCGUGUGCCCCCAGUGGGAGCUUGGAGGUCACGGAGGAAAUGCGAGACCAGAUGCAGGCAGGGGAGUCCUCCGGAGCCUGCAGGAGGGGGCCGCUGGCUCAGGGGCACCGGGAGACCCCCACAUGGACAGGGUGGAAAGGGCUUUCUUCAAAGCCAGGAUCUUGUCUCCAUCACAGCGUCCCAGCAACGCAUUGGGAGUGCUUGCUGCCAGGAGGCUCCCCGGUCCCGCAGCAGCCCCUCAGCGGCUGCCCUCCAAGGAAGGGGCGCACAGACACUCCAAGGCUCCACAGCGCGUGGGCCAGGGGCCGGAUCUACCCCUGGGGCAGUGGGACUGAGCGUGAGCCCAGCGCAGCCCCUCUGACUGCGUCAUUGUUAGGGGCCUUCUCGGAGCUAGCAGACCUAGAACCAGGCCUAGGGGGUGGGGGCGUGCCUGGAUGUGCACUGGGGGGGUGUCUGAACCCUUAGUUAGGACUGCGGGCCCUCCUUUCCACUUCCUUCAGUUCCUGGGGUCUGGGGCAUCCUAGCCAUGCGUGGGGCCUCCCUGCUGGGAUUGGAGACCCCCUGACAGCUGGGGCUGGUCCCAGCAUCUUCGCUCUUCCCCCAGGAGGACUUGGACGCAGGGUCUUCUCUGCUCCCCGUCACACAGAGGGUGGCACACCCGAUGGGAACUCUCAUUUAUCACCAAACCAAAAGAUGGAGAAACUGACAGAGAAGGGCUGCAAGCAGCUACGGCAGGGCGGUGUGUGGAAGCAGAUGGGAUGGGCAGAUGGAGGCGGGGGCCAGCAUCGCUGCCUUCUUGCCCCUCCCAGAGGACCCCAGGUCCCCAGCUCGGGCGCCCCACCCAGACUGGUAACGCCUGCGUCUGCUGUUUGGCACCGGGAGAUGAAUCACUUGCUUUUCAAAUUAGAAUCUUCCUUGCUGUCAGAAAUGUUUCUUCUCUACAAGGAAAUGGAGGUGAAAUUUUUAUAUGGGAAGGGUAGCUCCCUUGGCGAAUUGCAGGGCAGCGGAGGGCGGGUUCGGGGAGCCGAGUGCAGCCCGAGGUGCAGCUUUCAGGCUGGGAGGAAGCAGCUGCUUCCGGCUCCUCGGGACACGAGACGGGGACAGCGUGUGCUCGGCGGGUGGGAGUGACGCUGCCCACCUGCGGGCGUCUCCUGGGGAACGGGGUAUGUGGGCUGUGUGGCGGUACGGAGCCCAGCGCUGAUAGGAGGCUGCGCUGUCAGGCUGCAUUUGACCAUUUAUGGAACCAGGCCAUGAGGAGGCCCUGAAUUAGAAAGGCAUCCAGACCCAGGCUGCAGCCUCAGGCCGGGCACUGUCCCCUGCAUGGCUCCGGCGUCCCAGCUUGGUGUUAUCAGAACACAGAGGUUGAGGCUAUGGCUCCAUCUGGGCUGUUAGCACAGAGAAAAAAUGCCCAAAUGACUUGGUAAAGGGCGGGCUUCCUGGCCCCAUGGCUGCACGGGUGGGCUGGCUUCCUGUGUUUGCUGAGAUUUCUUUGAGGCAGCCCCACGGUAGAGUCCACUCUGGGUCCCGGCCCUGCGCUGGGCGCUGUGCUGAGCGCCUCUGUGGCUGCCAUCAUCUGAUUUUCAGCGCACUCACAGGCAGGCGCCAGGCUUCACUUUAAAGAUGGGGAAGCUGAGUCUCAGGGAAGUGGGGUCUGUGCCAGGGUCUUAGCAGGACUUCUGGGGUUGCUAGGACCCCCACGGGGCUGGGCUGGGGGUCUUCAUGCCAGGCCCAAUCCCUUUCCCAUAGUUCCCCCCGCCGGCACUACCCAACAUGUGGUCUCCGGUCAUCUCGUGCUGUCUCCACCCCUCCCUCCGCUUCUCUGCUGGAGUUGUCCCUGUCACCUUACCCCAGAGCCUUCUUUGUUCUUACAGUCCCAGGCGGAGGGUACCUCGGAGCACACUCUGCAGCCUCCGGCUCUCCCUCCUAAGUCCACCUGCCCGGCCGAUUGGGCUGUGUGGUCACUGUCCUCAAGACCUUAUGUGCCAUGAGGGCUCAGAGCCCUGAGCCUCAGCACAGGAAGUGCCACCCAGGCAGCCAACACCUGCUCAGCGGGCGGAUGGCCUUGCCGACUCGGCUUUGCUCCCGGGAGCCUCCUGGAGAAGAAGCCACAGGGAGACGGACAGCCCUGGGCGGCUCCAGCUUGCCAGCUCCACAUCCAAGGUCCUCCUUCUGGGGUGGGGUUACAAUCUGUUCAAAGCAUAUGCCCAGAAUAACAUUUUUGAAAGUCUUUAAAAAUGGGGUAAAGCUGACGUACCACGAAAGACACAAAUCUUAUCUCGUGCUCAGGUCUUUGCGUGUCUGCGCCCGUGUAACCGCCGUGCGUGUCAGUGAGUCCCUCCAAGAGCACGCCAGAACCACAGAGAACCCCUGGUCCCCCCCAGGGACUCCCCCGAGUCAUGACCCCCAGAGGUGACCUCUCCUGUGAUCUCUGACUUCCCAGCCUGUGGGGGUCUUGGGGACUGUGUUCUCCCUGCUGUUAGAGUACACAGGCCCUUUCUUUUCAUGGCUGUGCAGGGAGGGAGCGGGAGACACCACGGGUUGUUCCUUCUGCCGAGGGACACUGGUGACUUCAGGUUGUCUUUCUAUGGCUUUCGUGCUGGCUCUGGUGGGACCUGCGCUCAGCAGCAGACACUGGCCCUGGGGGUUGUGUGAAGCUUUGCUGCUAUUCCCCACAGGGUGGGGGGGGGCCAGUUACCCUCCCCCAUAGCUGUGGGGACUCCCGGGACCCUUGUCGUCAGCCUUUGCCAUCUCAGCUCACCUGGCGGGGGUAGAAUAACGUUUUGCAGGAAAGUUACAGACUUCCUGUCAGCUCAACUCUGCAGAAGAGGAGUUUGGUGGGAAGUUUUUCCAGAGUCUUCCCUCGGCCUGGGGCACAAUGUCACUGAAAUGCUGGAGCAAUCAGGGGCCAGCCCUCAAAUGGAGUCCUCGCCUCCCCACCGAAAGGCCAGGCCCGUUCAGAGAAGACCCCGUGGACAUGUGGGGCGUGCAGGCUAGGCGGGGUGGGGCUGAGUGGCCAGGUGUCAGGCAGGGCCUUUGGGAACAGAAGGUGGGUCCCUAGGGAAGUGGCGGUCACCGUCAGCCUGGCGAGCAGUGGCCCUUGUGGAAAGGGGGCUUCGGACGUGCUCGGGAGAUGCAGAACCCCGUCUGUGGGAGAGCUCCUGAGAGUUAGGGGCCAGGCUCAGCUCCCAAGGCUGCCCUGACAGAGGCCACACGCUGGGGAGCUAAGAUGCUGAGCCUCUCACAGCUCUAGAGACUGGAAUUGGGGAUCAGGGCAUCCUCAGGCCCCUGCCCACUCUGGAGGCCCGAGGAGAGGGUCCUCCCUGCCUCUUCCAGCUCCUGGUGACCCCGGGCGUCCCUCUGCGUGCAGCUGUGUGGCUCCAGUCUCUGCCUCCAUUGAAACGUGGCUGUCCUCCCUGCAUCUGUGGGGCUGACUUCCCUCUUCUUACAAGGAUGCCGUCAUUGGAUGAGGGCCCACCAUACUCCAGUGUGAGCUCACCCUAACUUGAUUACAUCAGCAAAGACCCUAUUUCCAAAUAAGGUCACAUUCUGAGGUUCUGAGUUGACAUGAGUUUUUAGGGGGGCCUGCUCAGCCCAGGACAGUAUGUGGUUUAAGAAAGGGAUUUCCCCAGAAUGAUCUGCCUGCCGUCUGCAUCCAGCCGCAGACCCUGGUUCCUGCCGUCUGGUCAGGGCUGGCCCUGGGUGAGCUGGAACCCUCUGUCCCUGCACCCCCAGCACUCCCACCCAAAAUGAACUUUGGGGACAGACAUCACAGCUUAGGGCACCCGUGGGGUCUUCAGAGGCUGAGCUGGUACCCAGCUCGUUUCCUCCCUCACAGAUGCAGCCAGGCAGUGAGCAGCCGACGGGUGCCUCAGUGUCCCAUGCAGCACAGCCACGCAGAGCAGGCGAGGGCCAGCCCCCAGGAAGCCGCUUGUGCCUGCCCGCAGUGGGACAAACCUCGGCACUGAGUGUGUCCACAGAUGCCAACGCCCCUCAGACGGAGUGAGUUGAUGACUGUUAAAUGCAACAAUAUAAAUGGCCUUGUAUUUUGUAUAUCUUUCCUUUUUUGUUUUAUUUUUCUAGCUGAUCUUUUUUACUCUAUUUUGCAAAAGUUAGCA